rnacentral:rRNA from 1 species
UCUACGGGAGGCAGCAGUGAGGAAUAUUGGACAAUGGGCGCAAGCCUGAUCCAGCCAUGCCGCGUGCAGGAUGACGGUCCUAUGGAUUGUAAACUGCUUUUGCACAGGAAGAAACAACUCUACGUGUAGAGUCUUGACGGUACUGUGAGAAUAAGGAUCGGCUAACUCCGUGCCAGCAGCCGCGGUAAUACGGAGGAUCCAAGCGUUAUCCGGGAAUCAUUGGGUUUAAAGGGUCCGUAGGCGGUUUAGUAAGUCAGUGGUGAAAGCCCAUCGCUCAACGGUGGAACGGCCAUUGAUACUGCUAGACUUGAAUUAUUAGGAAGUAACUAGAAUAUGUAGUGUAGCGGUGAAAUGCUUAGAGAUUACAUGGAAUACCAAUUGCGAAGGCAGGUUACUACUAAUGGAUUGACGCUGAUGGACGAAAGCGUGGGUAGCGAACAGGAUUAGAUACCCUGGUAGUCCACGCCGUAAACGAUGGAUACUAGCUGUUGGGCGCAAGCUCNGNGNGUAGACGAAGUAGAGUAAGUAGUAACCGUACCGUCGGGUUAGGUUACGUUACGUUCGAAGAAGUUAGAACGUUACGAAGGAAGUUAGACGGCGUUGAGGACGAGCCGACGGACGACGACGAGGGAGGAGG